rnacentral:rRNA from 1 species
GAUGAACGCUGGCGGCGUGCCUAAUACAUGCAAGUCGAGCGAACAGACGAGGAGCUUGCUCCUCUGACGUUAGCGGCGGACGGGUGAGUAACACGUGGAUAACCUACCUAUAAGACUGGGAUAACUUCGGGAAACCGGAGCUAAUACCGGAUAAUAUAUUGAACCGCAUGUUCAAUAGUGAAAGACGGUUUUGCUGUCACUUAUAGAUGGAUCCGCGCCGCAUUAGCUAGUUGGUAAGGUAACGGCUUACCAAGGCAACGAUGCGUAGCCGACCUGAGAGGGUGAUCGGCCACACUGGAACUGAGACACGGUCCAGACUCCUACGGGAGGCAGCAGUAGGGAAUCUUCCGCAAUGGGCGAAAGCCUGACGGAGCAACGCCGCGUGAGUGAUGAAGGUCUUCGGAUCGUAAAACUCUGUUAUUAGGGAAGAACAAAUGUGUAAGUAACUAUGCACGUCUUGACGGUACCUAAUCAGAAAGCCACGGCUAACUACGUGC